rnacentral:rRNA from 1 species
GUCUCUGCGCGGAAAAUUUAACGGGGCUAAGAUACAAACCGAAGCUUAGGCUGCACGUAAGUGCGGGGUAGGGGAGCGUUGUGUAAGCGGAGAAACAGUAGCGUAAGCGGCUGUGGAGUUUACAGAAGUGAGAAUGCCGGAAUGAGUAGCGCGAAUGUGGUGAGAAUCCACAUGGCCGGAAACCUCAGGUUUUUGGAGGAAGGUUCGUCCGCUCCAAGUUAGGCGGGAGCUAAGGUCAGGCCGAAAGGCGUAGCCGAUGCACAGACGGUAGAGAUUCCGUCCCCACCGAAAGAUUUAAGCACAGGGACACUUUUUGAAGGUCGGAGCCAGGUGUUGGUUCUGGUAGUGAUCGAGGGAAAUAUAGUACCGAAGUCCGGCUGGAAGAGAGGCGAGAAAAGCUGUGUGUAUAUCUAAGGUGCCCGUACCGCAAACCGACACAGGUAGGUAGGAAGAAGAUUCUAAGGCCAACGGGAGAAGGGUUGUUAAGGAACUCGGCAAGUUGACCCCGUAACUUCGGGAGAAGGGGUGCUCCAGAGAUGGAGCCGCAGAGAAUCGGCCCAAGCAACUGUUUACCAAAAACACAGGUUUGUGCUAAAUCGAAAGAUGACGUAUACGAGCUGACGCCUGCCCGGUGCUGGAAGGUUAAAAGGAGAUGUGCAAGCAUUGAAUUGAAGCCCCAGUGAACGGCGGCCGUAACUAUAACGGUCCUAAGGUAGCGAAAUUCCUUGUCAGGUAAGUUCUGACCCGCAUGAAAGGCGUAAUGAUUUGGGCACUGUCUCAACAGCCCGCCCGGCGAAAUUGUAGUACCGGUGAAGAUGCCGGUUACCCGCGACAAGACGGAAAGACCCCAUGGAGCUUUACUGUAGCCUGAUAUUGGGUUUCGGUGUUGCAUGCACAGGAUAGAUGGGACACUGGGAAGGCAGUGCUUUGGCAUUGCUGGAGUGGACGUUGGGAUACCAUCCUUGCGACAUUGGAAUUCUAACCUGCGCCUCUGAAUCGAGGCGGGGGACAUUGUCAGGUGGGCAGUUUGACUGGGGCGGUCGCCUCCUAAAAAGUAGCGGAGGCGUUCAAAGGUUCGUUCGAUCUGGACGGAAACCAGAUGAUUGAGUGCAAACGCAUAAACGAGCCUGACUGCGAGACUGACGGGUCGAGCAGAGACGAAAGUCGGAGUUAGUGAUCCGGUGGUAUGUGAGUGGAAAUGCCAUCGCUCAACGGAUAAAA